UUAUUGAAUCUUUAUUUACAGUUUUUAUGUAAAUAGAAUUACUGAGAAAGUUCUAUAAAAAAGGUUAUAUAAUAGUAAUAUAUAUAUUAAUUAUAUAUAAAUAUUAUAUAAAUAUUAUUUAGAUAAUAAAAAAGAAAAAAUAAUAUUAUAUUUUAUAUAUAUAAUAAAAUAAUAUAUAUAAUAAAAUAUAGAAAAUGAAAAUAUAUAUAUAAUUAAAGUAUUAUUAAAGAAUAAUCUAAAAAAAAAAAAGUUUUUUAAGAAUAAAGUGGAGAAAGUUUUUUUUUAAGCCGUUUUUUUGUCUAAUGGAACCUAAAAAGUAUUCCUUUUCGAUUAGGAGAGAUGGCUGAGUGGACUAAAGCGUUGGAUUGCUAAUCCAUUGUACGAGUUAAUCGUACCGAGGGUUCGAAUCCCUCUCUUUCCCUUCCCCUUUUUGAUGAUGUGAAAUAGAUAAAAUCCUAAUAAAAUUCGCACAUUUCCACUAUUUAAAUAUUAAAUUAAAGUAAUAAAAAACCUUUCUUUUUUAUUCUUCACGUCCCGGAUUACGUCCUGGAUCAUUAGAUAGGAAUCCAAAUAUGAAGAGAGAAACAAAGAAUAUAACUACAGUGUAUACAAAAAGUUUGAGAGUAAGCAUUACACAAUCUCCAAGAUCUUACUUUUUUUUUUCAAAAAAAAAAAAAGAGAAUAGAUUCUCUAUUUUUAUACUAAAUAUCUAGAUACUUUUUUUGUGAGUGAACUCGAAUCUAAUUAAGUUCUUUCAUUUAGAGAAAAGAGGAUAAAACUGAGGAAAUCAAAUGAUCCAGAUUUUAGUAUGGCUACCAAAAAAAUUCAAUGUUUGAAUUGAGAGUUCCUUCCUACGUCAAGAUUUUUUGAUCUUUUGAUUUGAAUUGUUGGAAGAAUCAAAAUCGUGAAUUUUUCUAAGACAGUAUUAAUAAUUUCAUCGAAAACUUACAGCUGCUUGCCAAACAAAGGCUAAGAGAAGAAAGAAAAGAGGUAUUACGGGCAUAACAUCUACGAUUGGAUUCAAAAAGGCGUAGGCCUCCGGCAAUUUGGCGACUAAAAAAGUGCUUGAAAAAAGGGCCGAAUUAAAACAAAUACAGAUCAAAUUAAAUAUAUUAAGCAUAACAAAAAUUGGUGUUCUUGUGGAUAAUUUAAUUUUGAUUGAGUUAUUAAUAUAUUUUUUAUAUAAGGAAAAAAAUAAAUAAAUAAAGAAAGAUAGUCUAAAAAGACUUUGUUGAACUUACUCAAUCAAAAAUCCUUUCAUUCUCAUAAGAGAAUGAAAGAAAUAAUAUUUUCAUACAAUAUCUUAAUUGAAUUCUAUGUAAUGAUCAAUAAAGUAAGUUUGAUUUGCUAUCUACACGUGUCAAAACUAUAGCACCAAUGUAAUCUAUAUUUCAUUUGGGCUGAAAUUGAAUUGACGAACAACCAAUAGCAAUAUUACUCUUUUAGUAGUCUUGAAUAAAAAUAAAAAUGGGGCGUAGCCAAGCGGUAAGGCAACGGGUUUUGGUCCCGCUAUUCGGAGGUUCGAAUCCUUCCGUCCCAGAGUCCAGUCAUUACGAAAUAAAUCUUCUAUUGCCUUUGUACACCAUCUUUUUCUUUCUGUUUAAAAAAACAAUAUUUUUUAAGAAUAAAAUAUUGAAAUGAAAAGAAGAAUAAACUUCUUUUUCAUUAUUUCACCCGAAAUUACAAAAAAUCUAUUUGCUUUUUUUAGUUGUGUGUGAUGUAGGUAAGUAAGGUAGAACCGUAGAUUCUACGAGUUUUAAUAAAAAAAAAUAUAUUUAUAUAUAGAAAUAUAGAUUUCUAUUCAAAUUUCGAUUUUACAUAUUUUUACAUAUAUAGAAUUUAAUGUGGGAUUCAUUUGAAUUCUGACUGAACCUUUUACGCAUAGAUUCACUAUUCCAUUCAUAGAGAAAGAAAAAGUAUAGAUUACGAUAUACUGACUGAACUAUGACUAUUCAUGAUUCCAUAAUUGAAUCAAUUACACAAACUAAAGGAAUGUUAUGGUAAAACUUCGUUUAAAACGAUGUGGUAGAAAGCAACGUGCGACUUGAAUUGAAGGACAUGAUCUGCUGUGGAUGUUUUGAUCCGCCACCUUUUAUAUUAGGAAUAUAGGUGCUCUUGGCUCGACAUUUUGUGUUCUAUUUUACGAGAGUCCUACACCUUUUUGAAUAUAAAAAAGAGUACAGGAUGGAGCUCGAGGAGAAUAGAAAGUUUUUAUUCCUUUCGCCGGAGUAAGGAUCUAGGGUUAGUGCGAAUCAAUAAGUUGGAACAACUUCGUAAGUCUUUUUAUUUUUAUAUUGAAAAAAAAGCCCUUUCAAGUAAUUUUACAAUGGAAAAGGAAAUUUUCGUAAAAUUUUAAAAUUCUUUGAAUUAAAAGUCUAUCAUGCGUGAAUCAAGCGUUUGUAUGAUUCUUUGAUAGAAAGAAAAGAAAUCAUAAACAAAAUAAGGGGCUUGUUGCUGCCCUUUUUUAAUAAAACGAUCAAGAUCACCGAAGUAAUGUCUAAACCCAAAGAUUCAAAGUAAGGAUAAAGAAUCCUGAAACAAGGAAAUCCCUUUUUCAAUUGUUUGAACAACUAGAUCAGAAUGAAGAAUCAAAAUUGAUUCGAAAAAAUGAGACAAACAAAAAAAGGUUAGAGACUACUCAAUAAAAAGAGUACUUAAGGAGUCUCUGUUGAGAUAUUUGAGAGUUAUUUAACUUGAGUUACGAGAGUACGAAUGUUACGAACGCUUUUUAUGAAAAAAAUAGUUAGGGUUUCAAUACUCAAUACUGGCUAAUUAAUUUAAUGUUUGAAUUUUAUAAAGAGAGUUAACUUAUACUCAUUGCAUUUUUUUCUCGAGCCGUAUGAGGCCAAAGCCUCGUAUACGUUUCUCGGGGGGGGGUAUUAUUCAUAUACAUCUAUCCCAAUGAGCCAUUUAUCGAAUCGUUGCAAUUGAUGUUCGAUCCCGAAGAGAAGGAAGAGAUCUUCGGAAGGUGGGGUUUUAUGAUCCGAUAACUAAUCAAACUUAUUUAAAUCUUCCUGCUAUUCUCGAUUUCCUUAAAAAGGGCGCUCAACCAACAAGAACAGUUCAUGAUAUUUCAAAGAAGGCAGGGAUUUUUACGGAAUUAAGUCUUAAUAAAACGAAAUUGAAUUAAUGAACUAUAAAAAAGAGGAUGUUAAAGACUCAUAUAUAGCUUGGUAUCAAAUUUGAUCUACUCUUUUCUUUCCUCCUCUUUCGUUUCCAUCAUAUUUAUUUUGAUUUAUUAGAAUUUCCAUUUAUUAUUAGUAUUCUUCCUAAAGGUAUGAAAACUAACAAAUAUCCUGCUAAAAACUACCAUGUUUUAUAAUAAAAAACAAAUUUAUUAAAAAAUUUUUGGGUUUAUAGAAAUUCUAAAUUUUGUAUAAAUACAAAAUUUUAUUGUAUAGAAUUAUUGUAUAGAAAAUAUAUAAAAUCAUACUGUAUAAUAAAUAAUAUAUUAAUAUAAUAAAUAAUAUAUUAAUUCUGAAUCAUAAUAUAUAUAGAAAUAGAAAGAUUUGAGAUUAUCCUAUUCGGCUUAGUUUUCAUUCCUUGUAUGAACUCACAAACCAGGGGGUUAAACUUUUUUAUUUUUUCUAUUCUUUUCGCUAUAUUAAAAAUUUACAAUCAUAUUGACAACAGUGUAUGGACCAAAUAUAAUUCUCUCAUAGAGAAAUAGAUCUAUUUCUCCCUGACGCACACAUGACUGGAUUUUUCUUUUUUUCUUUAUUCUGGUUGUAUCUACAUAUUUGCAGUACUUGCUUUUUUUUGUGGGGGGGGUUGCUAACUCAACGGUAGAGUACUCGGCUUUUAAGUGCGACUAGCAUCUUUUACACAUUUGUAUGAAGAAAAGGAUUCGUCCAGAUCCGCGGUAGAGUUUGUAAGACCACGACUGAUCCUGAAAGGAAUGAACGGAAAAAAUAGCAUGUCGUAUCAAGGGAGAAUUCAGAUAAAAAUUUUUUUUAUUUUCUAAUCGGUACAACCUUGUCGAAAAAAAAAAAAAAAGAAGAAUUCCAAUUUGGGUCGAGUGAAUAAAUAUAAAUGGAUGGAUAAAAAACAAGUUUUCCUUAUUCUAAGAAAAAAAAAGAAACGAGCUUCCAUUCGUAAUUUGAAAAAUUACCCGAUCUAAUUAAAUGUUAAAAAUAGAUUAGUACCUAAUACGGGUAUGGGAAGGAAUUUUUUUCUUGCGUGUUAUUAUCAAUUUUUUCGUGAGUCCUAAUUAUUUUUUCCCUAGUCCGUUUGGGUUAGGUUGUAGAUGGAUGUGUAAAAGAAGCAGUAUAUUGAUAAAAAAAAAUAUAUAUAUAUAUAUUUCCAAAAUCAAAAGAGCGAUUAGGUUAAAAAAAUAAAGGAUUUCUAAUCAUCUUGUUUUGUUAUUUUAUAAUAUAACGAACAGAAACCUAUUAAAGAUAGAGAAUCCAGUUAGCAGUCUACCUGUUUAUGAGGUAUUUAGUGCUUUCGUAAUCUAAUACCUUAUUUUGACUGUAUCGCACUAUGUGUCAUUUCAGAACUCAAGAAAAUAAAGACUUUACUUUUAGUUCAAAUCGAAUUUUAAUCCAAAUGGAGAAAUUUCAAGGAUAUUUAGAGUUCGAUGGGGCUCGUCAACAGAGUUUUCUAUAUCCACUUUUUUUUCGGGACUAUAUUUAUGUACUUGCUUAUGAUCACGGUUUAAAUAGAUUAAAUAGAAACCGCCCUAUUUUCUUGGAAAAUGCGGAUUAUGACAAAAAAUAUAGUUCACUAAUUGUGAAACGCUUAAUUUUGCGAAUGUACGAACAGAAUCGUUUGAUUAUUCCCACUAAGGAUUUGAACAAAAAUCUGGGGCAUACCAAUAAUUUCUAUUAUCAAAUGAUAUCUGUUUUAUUUGCAGUGAUUGUAGAAAUUCCAUUUUCCCUAAGGUUGGGAUCCUCUAUCGAAGGAAAAAAUGUAAAAAAAUCUUACAAUUUACAAUCACUUCAUUCAAUAUUUCCCUUUUUAGAAGACAAACUCUCACAUUUUAAUUAUGUAUUAGAUGU
rnacentral:lncRNA from 1 species